AACGAACGCUGGCGGCAGGCCUAACACAUGCAAGUCGAACGCAUCGCAAGAUGAGUGGCGCACGGGUGAGUAACACGUGGGAAUGUACCCUUUGGUUCGGAAUAACGUUUGGAAACGAACGCUAAUACCGGAUGAGCCCUACGGGGGAAAGAUUUAUCGCCAAAGGAGCAGCCCGCGUCUGAUUACCUAGUUGGUGGGGUAACGGCCUACCAAGGCGACGAUCAGUAGCUGGUCUGUGAGGAUGAUCAGCCACACUGGGACUGAGACACGGCCCAGACUCCUACGGGAGGCAGCGGUGAUGAAUAUUGGACAAUGGGCGCAAGCCUGAUCCGGCCAUGCCGCGUGAGUGAUGAAGGCCUUCGGGUUGUAAAGCUCUUUCGCACACGACGAUGAUGACGGUAGUGUGAGAAGAAGCCCCGGCUAACUUCGUGCCAGCCGCCGCAGUAAAAC
rnacentral:rRNA from 1 species